UAGGGAAUAUUGGGCAAUGGAGGGAACUCUGACCCAGCCAUGCCGCGUGCGGGAUGAAGGCGUUAUGCGUUGUAAACUGCUUUUAUAUAGGAAGAAAUAGUCCUUGCGAGGAAAGUUGACGGUACUAUAUGAAUAAGCACCGGCUAACUCCGUGCCAGCAGCCGCGGUAAUACGGAGGGUGCAAGCGUUGUCCGGAUUUAUGGGUUUAAAGGUGCGUAGGCGGUUUAUUAAGUCAGUGGUGAAAGACGGUCGCUCAACGAUUGCAGUGCCAUUGAUACUGGUAGACUUGAGUAUGAUUGAGGUAGCUGGAAUGGAUAGUGUAGCGGUGAAAUGCAUAGAUAUUAUCCAGAACACCAAUUGCGUAGGCAAGUUACUAAAGUCAUAACUGACGCUGAGGCACGAAAGUGUGGGUAUCAAACAGGAUUAGAUACCCCAGUAGUCCCUGAGCGGGCUGGCAAGGCGCAU
rnacentral:rRNA from 1 species